CACGUAGGCGGCCAUUCAAGUCAGAGGUGAAAGCCCGGGGCUCAACCCCGGAACUGCCUUUGAAACUAGAUGGCUUGAAUCUUGGAGAGGCGAGUGGAAUUCCGAGUGUAGAGGUGAAAUUCGUAGAUAUUCGGAAGAACACCAGUGGCGAAGGCGACUCGCUGGGCAAGUAUUGACGCUGAGGUGCGAAAGCGUGGGGAGCAAACA
rnacentral:rRNA from 1 species